ACAAUAAUUACGGAAACAAUCGAAGUAAUUAUAGUUUGCAGAAUCAUUACUUGCAUUUUUAUACAGAGGAUCAUGUGUGGAUGAUGAUAUUUGACUUGUGAAAGGAUUGACAAAAGAAUUUUAUAUUGUGGAUUAAAUUGGGCAUUUGAAAUAUUCCUAAUGUGUGGAUUACAUGAGAUAUCCAAAUGUUGUUUACGUGAUGUAAAAUAGGACUAUGUAUAAGUUCUACUAAUAUAAGGAUUAAAAUGGACGGAUAAUUUGUUAUAGAGCAAGGAUGUAUCAUGGAGAGGUUGUUUCGGAUAGCUAUUGAGAUAAACAGAGAAAUUGAAUUCAGAUAUAUGUGGAUUAAUGAAUUAAUAUUUAUCAAGGAUAGUUUCUUUGUGAACUUUAAUUUUGUCGGAUCUAUUUCAUUCAUUUUAUCUUUUCUGACAGCUAUUCUAUUUUUUAUAAACAGUUCAAAAAUAUAUUUAUUUAAUAUGUUUAUUGUAUUGUGAUUCUUUAUUAUUUGCGUCUUAAUAAAUUUGUUUAUCAAUACAAUUUUCCGUAUGUAUUUUUCUAAAACAGGGAAAACUACUUUUGUGAUUGUUUUAUCACAACUUGACUUGUUCUCAUCUCUUGUUUGUUGGAUCGCAUAUUUAGAACAGAAAUAUUUAUUCAUUG
rnacentral:lncRNA from 1 species